rnacentral:lncRNA from 1 species
CUUAAAAAAAAAAAUCUAAUUGGAUGAAUAUUUGGAUGAAUCCAAGUUCAAAUGAGUUUGAAUUUGGAUGAUAUUUUAGAUUCAGAUGGUAUUUUGGAUUAGACUAUUUUGGAUUGAGUUAUUGAUUUUAUAUUUAAUUAUUUGUAUUUGAAUUUUUUAGGAAGCACUGCAAUCCAAUUGAAUUUUUCAAAUCAAGUCGAAUCUAAUCCGAUUCGAAGCAAAUCUAAUUAGAUGGCACAAAUUAUAUGAGAUCAAAUUUUGGGCAAUAUUCGAAUCCAAUCCAAACUUAAUUGGAUCGCAUCUAUUCGAACCCGAUUCAAUGCCCAAUCCUAAUUUCGAUGAAGUUCAAAAUCGAUUUCGUUUAGUGGCAAUGAUAGCACCAGAUUUUGCUAAUUUGGUUGUCAUUCGAGAAAAAACUACAAAACAAUUUGAGUAUAAUAUAUGAGCUUGUCAAAAUUACAUUUACGGUGUAUUUCCUUUGCAGCAAUCAGAAUGGGUUGGAAUCAUAGUAACAAAUGAAAACUAAAAUAAGAUUUUACUUGAGCUAUGUGAAUUAGAAUUGAAAUGAAUUGUAUCACAUUGAUUUAUUUACUUCGUCUUGAAACCAGAAUGAAUUGUUAUAAAUUAUUAAAAUGCCCUUAGUUAAUAUUAUUAUAUUCAUUUUUACUAUUAUCCUAAUAAUAAUUUUUUUUUUGUUAUUGUUGUUGUUAUUGUUAUUGCUACUACUAUUACUACAAUUAUAAUUAUACAUAAAAAAUGUUUUGUAACUUACAAUCAAAUAAAAUAAUUUAAAAAUGAAUAACAACUAGAAUUACCAAUCAAUAAAUUUUUUAAAAUGUAAAUUUGAGAGAGGGAGACCUACGUAAAAUCAUUAUUUCAAUAGACAUGUAACCAUGUAAAACAAAACUUUGAGAUAGUCUUGAAAACAUGGCACAUAUAUAGAUUACAGGUUUAGGUUAGGCUUUUUCAAACCAAGGCCAAGCUCAUGUUAUUGAUAACAUACUCAAGUUCUCUAAAAGUCCAUCCAAAUUUGGAAGAACCGGGCCUAGGCUGAGUCUUGAUGGGCCUAGGCCGGACUUGGGCUUCUAUUAAUUUUUAAAUGAAUUUUUAAUAAAGCUAAAAAUUAAAAAAAUAUUAAAAUUAAAGAUGAUUAUUCAAUACAUAAUAGAUUAAUAGUACAAUACACAAAAUACUAACAAUAUAAUAUAGUAAACGAGAAAUUCAGUCACGUGAAUUUGCUUGUUUUCUUUCUUUUUUUUUAUUUGAUUUUCUUUUUUAAUUUAUAAAUUAUAAAAUUUGAGUCAAGUCUAAACUUUUUACAUAAGUCUUUAACCAGACCUAUUCACAACAGACUUUAGAAAUUUUAACUCAUAUUUAGGUCUUCAUGUAAAGGGCUAGCCCAAAAACUCUCGGGUCUAGGGCGAGCAAGCCCAGGCUUUUUUGCCCACCUUAUCAAAAUCUCAUGAAAGGAACUAAAAAGAAAGAAAUAAGGUGGAGUUGACUUCAUGGGUAUGUCAAAAAUUGCUAAUUUUAUUUUUCGAACCAAAACUAAUGUGUAAGUUGUUAAUGAAAAAAAAUUUAAUUUGCUCCGAUAAAAAAAAAAUGCCCAACAAUUGGUGUUAUUCAUAAAUAAACAAUUAUAACUUAUGGGAUCCUAAUUACUAAACGAGGGACAAAGGGUGGUUUUAAUUUACUAAACCAACAAAAACACGAGAAAUUAAGUCCAAAUAUUUUAUAAUGUCUACGUAAUUUAAUGUAAUAAAUAAUCAAAGUGAGAAUGGAAGUACCUAAUUUUUAAAAAUAUUCUUAAAAAAUUGUCUUAAACAUUUUUAAAAAUUUGUUAAUGUUAAUUCAAAUUUCUUAUUACACCACUAGGUAUAUUUGAAUAGUUCUCCAAUAAUUUUAUUUGACUAGUAGUCAAAAUCAAAUCCUAAGAAAGAUAAAGGUUAAGAAUCAUAAAAUUGAUUUUAACUUUGCUCAAAUGAAAGGUUCAGCUAUGGUGUAAAUGUGGUACCAUAUCACAGCUGCACUUAACCAUUAAAUUCAGCUAUGGUGAGAGAUCAAAUGGUUAGGUAACUAGAUUUAAUCACUAGGUGCAGCUGUGGUAUGGUACCACAGUUGCACCAUAGCUAAGUCCCAAAUAAAUAUUGUCACUAGUUGAAGAUGAUGAUUAAAACAAAAUCAAGACAAAUAAUAAAUAGGAUUGCACGCGCUUUAAUUUGCAUUUUCCCUUCACGGAAACCUUUAUGUUCGUUGUUCAUAAUCAAACAAUAAAAUCAAAUUAGAGUGAACCUUGCUUGAAUUUUCCCUCUCAAUUUCUUUGAGAGUAUAAUAGGAUGGACCCCAGUCCCGGGGAGAGACUAUCAAACAAUUAAUUUGGAAGUAAAAAUUUACUUUUAGUGCUAAGUGAAAUAAAUAAAUAAUAGUUGGAAAAUCCUCACUCAAAUGUAAACUAAUUUGGCCAAUCUAUGACCGGUCGAUGAGAUACACAAUUUUUUUUUUUAUCUAUGCGAAUACACAUUAAUCCAAGCUUCCAUUUUCCUAUCUUUUAACAAUAGUGAUAGAACUACAAAUAAUUUUUUACAAAUUAAUAUUAUAAACUAAUGUGAUAUAAAGUGAUUAAUUGAAAAGUAAUAAUAGUUAUUUUUUCUAAUUAUGUGCGCCGUGAUAAUUAUAGGGUAAAACUAUGUUGCCACAAGGGUUUGUUACCCCUUUUUUUUGUCUUUCUCUAAGUCAAUUAUAAUGGAGUCCUAUUAUUUGUUAUAUAUAUAUAUAAAAAAAAAAGGCCAACGACUUUUAAAUUUUGACACAUUAGGCCUGCACUUACAAAUUUUCAAUUACAGUAAUGUUUCCAAAAGCCACAACCUAUGUCAUAAACACCUUUCCAAGACCCAACACGAACACACUACUCCGACAUCGCAAACUUGCCAAUUUGGACAAUAUAAGUUUUUUUUAUUAUCGCAAUAUAUGUAGAGAACCUAAUGCAUAAUUUGCUAGAAUUGGGGAAAAAAUCCAUUUCACUACCAAAGUAAAAAACAAAAAGUCCAUUGCCAUGAUGUUGUUGUCUGACACUAACCCAUUAAUCGUAUCCCUAUCAAUUAGGGAUGGCAAAAUCCAAUUGAAUAAUAGUUAUUAUCCAUCUAUGUGCAAAUACAAAUUAUCCAAUAUGUUAUGGAUAUCUAUUGAUAAACAUGGUAUUUAAUUUUUAUUAUAAAUCAUUAUACAUUUUACUGUAUGAAAACUAAUUAAUGAGUUUUACAUAAAAAAAUCUUAUUUAUUUUUUAUUUAAUUUCCUAAAAUGAUUAGUAUUAAAAUGUAACUAAAUUAUUUUCAAUAUAGAAACAGAAUAAUAAUAAAAAUUAUUAAUUUUAUUUUGAAUUAAUUACAAAAAAAUAAUUUACAUUAAAAAGUAUUGAAAAUCGCUGGUGACCACUUAGGCUUGGUAAAAAAGUGCUCCCGAGCUUCAAGCCCAACCCCGGAUAAAAUUAUGGAUAAAGGCUUAGAAAUAUGAAGCCCAUUUAUAAUGGGCUUGGUUAAGGGCCUCAAACAAAAAUAUAUAAAUAAAAAAUCUGAAAUAAAAAACAAAAAUAUAUAAAUGAAAAAAUAUCUGAAAAAAAAAACACAAAAUCUAAACAAAAAACAAUGAACCCUACGGGGCCGUUUGGUACCGUUUUUCAAACCAUAUUUUCGUUUUCAUUUUUAUAAUACACACAUAAAACAUGUUUGGUGGAUUUUUUUCACAAAACAAAUUACAAAACACAAAAUCUGGAUUCAUUAUUAUAACUACACAACUGAAAACAAGUUAAACAUGUUCUCCAAAUUUGACAGUCUAAACCUAAAAAUGAAUUAAAAAAACAAAAGAAAAAUCGUGACCUCCUCCUUAUCUCUUCACUGCCGCUCUCUCUUCCCCCCAACUUUCUUCAUCCAGUUGCAGCAAAUCUGCACUCUCUCCCUCCCCUUAUCUUCAUCCAACAUCUUUCUCUCUUUAUUUCUCCCGAUCCACUCUCUCCUCCUUAUCUCUUCACUGCCUCUCUCUCUUCCCCUUUCCCCCGCAGCCUUCUUGAUUCAGUUGCAGUAAAUCUGCACUCUCUCCCUUUCCUCAGCAAAUCUGCACUCUCAGCCACUGUCGUUGCUGUGUUUCCGCCAUAGCCGCCGCUACUCUGUUUCCGCUGCUGCUCUGCUCCGCUGCUGCUCGUCUUCGCUGCUGCUCUGUUUUCGCUGCUGUUCUGCUCAGCCGUUGCUGCUCGUCUUCACGCCAGCUGCUGUUGCUCUCCCGGAUCUGUCACUAGCCAGUAUUUAUUUUGUUUAUGAGCUGAAAUUUUUUAGAGAUGAUUUGAGUGAUUUUUAAUUCUGGAAAUUUCUGAGGUUGUUCAUAUGUAGUGACAAAUUGUUUAUUUAUGUGCUGAAAUUUUUCCUCAUUUAUUUUAGAGAUUAAAAGCGUGGCUGCCACGGCUCUGUGAGACCUUGCGUGUUACGCCACGGUUCUGGGGAAAGUGUGGCUGUCAUGGCUCCGUGAGAUCUUGCGUGUUACGUCGCGGUUCUGGGGAAAGCGUGGCUGUUGUGCCUAGAUUCUCGUGCUGGAGAGCACGUCUUGCCAACUGCCGUCGACCGGGUCUCCUCGCCUCUCGAUCUCUAGCCGGAAUGGCCUCGUGCCUUUUAUAGGAAUUGGCCUCGCGGACGACAACAUCGUGGACGAGCAGGAUGUUUCUGCUCCUGUUCUUCCACGCGCCAGGCUUUAACGGAAAACACCGGUUCGCAGAACUCCGCCAUCAGAUGUCUGCUCGUCGUUCCUGGUCCCUUCGACGCAUUUGUCCCAAACAGUAUCCCUCCCAAACAUCCUCCUUAUCUCUUCACUGCCUCUCUCUCUUCCCCUUUCCCCCGCAGCCUUCUUGAUUCAGUUGCAGUAAAUCUGCACUCUCUCCCUUUCCUCAGAAAAUCUGCACUCUCAGCCACUGUCGUUGCUGUGUUUCCGCCAUAGCCGC